UACGUAGGGACCAAGCGUUGUUCGGAUUUACUGGGCGUAAAGGGCGCGUAGGCGGCAAUUCAAGUCAGCUGUGAAAUCUCCGGGCUUAACUCGGAACGGUCAGCUGAUACUGCUUUGCUAGAGCGCAGAAGGGGCAAUCGGAAUUCUUGGUGUAGCGGUGAAAUGCGUAGAUAUCAAGAGGAACACCUGAGGUGAAGACGGGUUGCUGGGCUGACACUGACGCUGAGGCGCGAAAGCUAGGGUAGCAAACGGG
rnacentral:rRNA from 1 species